rnacentral:rRNA from 1 species
AACGAACGCUGGCGGCAUGCCUAACACAUGCAAGUCGAACGAAGUCUUCGGACUUAGUGGCGCACGGGUGCGUAACGCGUGGGAAUCUGCCCUUGGGUGCGGAAUAACUUCUCGAAAGGGAUGCUAAUACCGCAUAAUGUCGUAAGACCAAAGAUUUAUCGCCCAAGGAUGAGCCCGCGUAAGAUUAGCUAGUUGGUGGGGUAAAAGCCUACCAAGGCGACGAUCUUUAGCUGGUCUGAGAGGAUGAUCAGCCACACUGGGACUGAGACAGGCCCAGACUCCUACGGGAGGCAACAGUGGGGAAUAUUGGACAAUGGGCGAAAGCCUGAUCCAGCAAUGCCGCGUGAGUGAUGAAGGCCCUAGGGUUGUAAAGACUCUUUUACCCAGGGAUGAUAAUGACAGUACCU